GAUCAAGUAAAAAAGGGCGCACGGUGGAUGCCCUGGCACUAGGAGCCGAUGAAGGACGUGAUAAGCUGCGAUAAGCUGCGGGUAGAUGCAAAUAAUCUGUGAUCCGUAGAUUUCCGAAUGGGGAAACCCACUUAGCUAACGCUAAGUACUAUAUGCUGAAUACAUAGGCAUAUAGAGGUACACCUGGGGAACUGAAACAUCCAAGUACCCAGAGGAAGAGAAAGAAAAUUCGAUUCCCUAAGUAGCGGCGAGCGAAAGGGGAAGAGCCCAAACCAGAA
rfam:Clostridium colicanis DSM 13634 CLCO_contig000030, whole genome shotgun sequence.